rnacentral:SRP_RNA from 1 species
GCUGGGUAUGGUGGCGCAUGCCUGUAAUCCCAGCUACUUGGGAGGCUGAGACAGGAGAAUUGCUUGAACCUGGGAAGCAGGUUGCAGUGAGUCGAGAUCGCGCCACUGCACUCCAGCCUGGUGACAAAGCAAGACUCUGUCUCAA